rnacentral:rRNA from 1 species
CAGUCGCCGCGGUAAUACGAAGGGUGCAAGCGUUACUCGGAAUUACUGGGCGUAAAGCGUGCGUAGGUGGUGGUUUAAGUCCGUUGUGAAAGCCCUGGGCUCAACCUGGGAAUUGCAGUGGAUACUGGGUCACUAGAGUGUGGUAGAGGAUAGUGGAAUUUCCGGUGUAGCAGUGAAAUGCGUAGAGAUCGGAAGGAACAUCUGUGGCGAAGGCGACUAUCUGGGCCAACACUGACACUGAGGCACGAAAGCUAGGGGAGCAAAUGGGAUUAGAUACCCCAGUAGUCCCUGUCUCUUAUAA